rnacentral:piRNA from 1 species
CAGAUGAGCAAGGUGAGGCCAAGAAGC